AAUAAAUGUGAAAUAAUAACAUCUCAUUACACCUGUAAGUGUAGACGCUGGUGCUCAAUGUCAACAGUUACAUCACACAGUACAGGACUUACUGCAGUCACACCAGAACAGGUCAGUAGAGUAAGGUGGUUAUAGUACAGGACUUACUGCAGUCACACCAGAACAGGUCAGUAGAGUUAGGUGGUUAUAGUACAGGACUUACCGCAGUCACACCAGAACAGGUCAGUAGAGUUAGGUGGUUAUAGUACAGGACUUACUGCAGUCACACCAGAACAGGUCAGUAGAGUUAGGUGGUUAUAGUACAGGACUUACUGCAGUCACACCAGAACAGGUCAGUAGAGUAAGGUGGUUAUAGUACAGGACUUACUGCAGUCACACCAGAACAGGUCAGUAGAGUUAGGUGGUUAUAGUACAGGACUUACUGCAGUCACACCAGAACAGGUCAGUAGAGUUAGGUGGUUAUAGUACAGGACUUACUGCAGUCACACCAGAACAGGUCAGUAGAGUUAGGUGGUUAUAGUACAGGACUUACUGCAGUCACACCAGAACAGGUCAGUAGAGUUAGGUGGUUAUAGUACAGGACUUACUGCAGUCACACCAGAACAGGUCAGUAGAGUUAUGUGGUUAUAGUACAGGACUUACUGCAGUCACACCAGAACAGGUCAGUAGAGUUAGGUGGUUAUAGUACAGGACUUACUGCAGUCACACCAGAACAGGUCAGUAGAGUUAGGUUGUUAUGUCUCUAUUGACAUAAAGCUCUAGUCCACCUUGGUUGGAAUAAUGGCAUCGAUGGAAAGUUUGAUAUUUCUUCACAAAGGCACUCUAUAUCAUACAUUUAGCCU